CCACAUUACAUAAAGUGUCUAUACAUGCCAUAAAAUUUCGGAACACUAGUAGUAAAAUACCCCAAAUGUGAAGGAUAGUGUAGAUGAUUGUCUGACUUCGUUCCAAUUUCCGAGUUGUUGGAGGUCACUAUAACCAAGAGAAAAAUAAAAUCGAGUAAGCAUAUAGCUUAGUAAGUAAACACAUGAUAAAUAAGUAAUUACUCCCAUAACUACACCAAAAUAUAAACUUAUUCAUGAAUAACUUUAUUGUUUAGGCAAUUUCCAGCAAGCUGUUUUUCUGCGUCAUAGUCGCUAAUUUAUUUUUAUCUGGAGCUACAGGGCUCCAAAUUGAGUUCCGUAAAUUUUCCCUGAAACUAGACUCAUAUACCAUUUCACCAUAAAAAUUUCAGAAUUUUUAACCCAGCCAAUUAGUACAGUUUAUUCAUUAAACCUUCCCCUGUUUCACUGCCCAACGGUUCUGACCCUUCCUCACUAAAAUUUACUUAACUCUCUGUACAAAAUUUGAAAAAUGGGUUUUCUUGUUUCUAAUAAAAAUAGACUCAAUAAGGAUUCCAGGGAUAUAAAUUUCAUGCCAUAAUUAUUUUUUUUACAAUUUUUGGUAAUUUUCCAAAGUUAGAACAGGGGAUCUCGAAAUCAAUCCAGCCCUGUUUUAGUAAAAUUCAGAUAUCUCCAAAAAUACAACUCUUUUGCUUAUUCUAUUUCUUUCAUAUGAAAACAGACACAUCCAGCUUCAAUUUCAUAUAUUAUUCAGCUUCCCAUUCAUUUUCCACCAUUUAUGGUGAUUUUUCAAAGUUACCCAACUGCUGUUGUUCAACACAGUUUAUAAUUAAAUCGUUCCUUUUUCGUUUUUGAUAUUUUCUCCCAUCUCAUACAUGGAUCGAUUUAGUGUCCAACUCAAUAUUUACCCCAUAAAAUUUUCCACCAUAUGGCAAUAUUCACCUUCCACACUUUUUCGUUGAACACUCGGAAUGUUAACCGUUAUUGGUGGAUCUCGCACUUAGCACCACCACUGAAUCGGGGAAUCAUCACUUAGCAACCCCUCGGGGGAAUCAGCACAUAGCAACCCCCUUUUCAUUUCAAAGAUACAAUGGAUAUCGCACUUAGCAACCCCUCGGGGGAAUCAGCACAUAGCAACCCCCUUUCACAUUUCAAAGAUAUGGUGGAUAUCGCACUUAGCACCACCAAUGAACCGGGGAAUCAGCACUUAGCAACCCCUCGGGGGAAUCAGCACAUAGCAACCCCCUUUCACAUUUCAAAGAUAUGGUGGAUCACGCACAUAGCACCACCCAUAAAUCGGGGAAUCAGCACACAGCAACCCCUUUUAUAUACAACAUACUACGGCUUAUUCCGAGUGUUCAACCCAUAACCCAUAUAUUGCAACCCUUUAUCACCUUUCCCGAUUUAACAACAUUUUUAGGAUAUUACCAAACAUUUAUUUUAAUUCCAAAUAAAUCUCAACAUAUAUCAAAUAAUAUCAAAAUAAUACAUUAAGUCACGUGUUUACUUACCUCGGUGCAAAAUAUCGUAAUUUUGCACUUUACUCCACUAUCUUUUCUUUUCCUCGUUUGAUAUACUCUUCACGUCUUUCUUGAUCUAUAAUAGCAAAUUUAACUCGUUUAAAGUCCACAUUUAUUAAAAUAAUCCACCACCCAACUUUUUGAAAAUUACAAUUUUGCCCCCAAACUUUUGCAUAAUUACACUUUUGUCCCCAAGCUCGGAAAUUAAACUUCAUCACUUAUUCUUAAGUUUUAUAACAUGCUGAACAUUUUUUCCUUCUAUGGAAACAUCAAAUUCCCACUCCAACACAUACUUUUGAAUAUUAAUUAUUUUUACCGAUUAUGUCUAUUUACCCGUUUUCGCUUAAAAUUGCUUAGCAAAAGUUGUUUAACAUAAUCUCUAGCUUCAUAUUCCACCAUAAAACAGCAAAAUAAACACAUUUCACCUAUGGAUAUUUUUCCAAAUAUGAACCCUAACAUGAAUUAAUGGUAGAAUAAGCUAAACCAAGUUACCGAGACUCUAAAAAUACGAAGAACAUUAAAAACGGGGCUUAGAAUCACUUACUAUAGAGCUUGAAAGCUUAAAAACCCUAAAUAUGGCUUCCCCCUUGCUG
rnacentral:lncRNA from 1 species